UUUCAGCUUGCUGAAACCAGUAAAGUGGCGCACGGGUGAGUAACGCGUGGGUAAUCUACCUCCGAAUUGGGGAUAACAUUGCGAAAGCGAUGCUAAUACCGAAUGACAUCUCAAUAACUCCGGUCUUUGAGAUUAAAGGUGGCCUCUCCAUGGAAGCUAUUGUUUGGAGAUGAGCCCGCGUACCAUUAGCUUGUUGGUAGGGUAAUGGCCUACCAAGGCGACGAUGGUUAGCUGGUCUGAGAGGAUGAUCAGCCACACUGGAACUGACACACGGUCCAGACUCCUACGGGAGGCAGCAGUGAGGAAUUUUGCGCAAUGGGGGAAACCCUGACGCAGCAACGCCGCGUGAGUGAUGAAGGCUUUCGGGUCGUAAAGCUCUGUCAAGUGAGAAGAACCUGUCCUUUGCUAAUAUCACUGGGCACUGACGGUAUCACUGAAGGAAGCACCGGCUAACUCCGUGCCAGCAGCCGCGGUAAUACGGAGGGUGCAAGCGUUAUUCGGAAUCACUGGGCGUAAAGAGCGCGUAGGCGGUUUCUAAAGUCAGAUGUGAAAGCCCGGGGCUCAACCCCGGAAGUGCAUUUGAAACUUAGGGACUUGAGUAUGGGAGAGGGAAGUGGAAUUCCUGGUGUAGCGGUGAAAUGCGUAGAUAUCAGGAGGAACACCGGUGGCGAAGGCGACUUCCUGGGCCAAUACUGACGCU
rnacentral:rRNA from 1 species